UACGUAGGGUGCAAGCGUUAAUCGGAAUUACUGGGCGUAAAGCGUGCGCAGGCGGUGAUGUAAGACAGAUGUGAAAUCCCCGGGCUCAACCUGGGAACUGCAUUUGUGACUGCAUCGCUGGAGUGCGGCAGAGGGGGAUGGAAUUCCGGCGUGUAGCAGUGAAAUGCGUAGAUAUGCGGAGGAACACCGAUGGCGAAGGCAAUCCCCUGGCCGACACUGACACUCGAGAGACGAAAGCUAGGGGAG
rnacentral:rRNA from 1 species